GCUCUGCGCCCCUGGAAGGGACACGCAGCCAGGGCUGCUGCUUGGAAAUCGUGCCCGGCGGCCACGGCAGCCACGCAGGCUCAGCGCAGCUCGCAGCCCACACAUCAGUCUGCCGGGAUGAUGCUAUCAGGGAGCCCGGGGUACAGCGGCAACGCUCCCCCUGGCUUCUGUUUCGCUCUGCCUUUUCUCCUCUUUGCUCCUUUUCUACCCCCCUUUCGGAAUGCAUACAUCUUGUGGACACAUUUAAUGGUACUAAUGUGAAUAUGUAUGAUGUUUCAGUCUCUGCCAUCUAUUUCACCUGCUGAGUGUUCAUCUCAAAUUCGGCAUAAUGCUUUUGUCCAGCUUUUUUGUCCAGAUCAGCAACACAGAUUGCUUCAAGAAGUUAACUGAUUUUAUGAGAAGAUGUAACUGAACAAUCCUAUAAAAGUGGAGAGAAUAUUCAUCUUUUCGGAGAACUGUACAGCCAUCAUCCAUAUGUCUUCAGGAUAACUUCUGGCUAUAAAAAUGUUUGUCAGUUUAGAUUAUCUACACAUGAGGCUUGUGUUAGUUGUUUUUUGUGCUAUAUAAUUUAAUUCAAAUUGAUCCUGGUGGAAAUAUUGGCAUCAAAAAUCCCAGUUUUUUGAGAAAUCAUUAUUCUUGGUUACUCUGGUACUAAGCAUACAAAUUUUUACUUUAAAAAUAGAAUUUUAAAAGCUGUUCUUACUAAAAUACUGCUGAUGCUCACAAUAAAGUUUUGCAUGCAGAAUACUGACUCA
ensembl:lncRNA